UCAGACGAUGCGUCAUGCAUAUCAAUAAGCGGAGGAAAAGAAACUAACAAGGACUCCCUUAGUAACGGCGAGUGAAGCGGGAAGAGCUCAAAUUUGAAAUCUUAAAGGGUUUCCCUUUACGAAUUGUAGUUUAAAGAAGUGUUUUCUGUUGAGGUUUUGGUAAAAGUUCUUUGGAAUAGGACAUCAUAGAGGGUGAGAAUCCCGUAUUUGACCUUUACUUUCAACUUUGUGAUACACUUUCAAAGAGUCGGAUUGUUUGGGAAUGCAGUCCAAAAUGGGUGGUAAAUUUCAUCUAAAGCUAAAUAUUGGCGAGAGACCGAUAGCGAACAAGUACCGUGAGGGAAAGAUGAAAAGAACUUUGAAAAGAGAGUUAAACAGUACGUGAAAUUGUCAAAAGGGAAGCGUUUGACACCAGUGUUGUUUUUCUGAAAAUCAAUUAAAGAACUGUUUAUGCUAAGUUGUUUAGACUUUAUCAGCUAACUGUUUAGUUUUGAGCUUUUCUUUAAUGCACUUUUCAGUUAACAAGUCAACAUCAAUUUCUUUUGCUGUAAAAAAGCUUGAGGAAGGUGGCUUGAGAUUCGUCUUAAGUGUUUAUAGCCUCUUGCCUAUGCAGUCGGAGAGAUUGAGGUCUGCAGCGUAGAUCCUUCGGGGCUAAAUGCAUUUGUGCUAAGUUAUAGCAUUUUAUAGACAAUCUUGUUGACUAUGAUUUGUCUUGUAGCUUACUCGCUUAUGUUAUUUUACCUACGCUUAGGAUGUUGAAGUCAUCGUAUCGCG
rnacentral:rRNA from 1 species